GUAUGGACAAAGGUCUCUCACCAUCUCAUACAUUUCAAUAUACAUAUACAUAUAUUGAAAUGUAUGAGAUGGUGAGAGACCUUUGUCCCUA
rnacentral:miRNA from 1 species